AGUCAAGCAACGAAAGGCAAAUGGUCGAUACCUAGGCACACAGAG
rnacentral:rRNA from 1 species